rnacentral:lncRNA from 1 species
GCCGGGCCUCCUGUCACCCCCUUUGUCUCCUCGUCCCAGGUGGCUCUGGCAUUGAUGCUGCACCUGGGCCUGCCAUGUAGCCCUAAGUCGUUUGUCCUCUAUGAGGAGAAUUGGCAGCACGUGUGUUCCCUCCCGGAGGAUGUACUGGUGGCAGAUGUCCUCACCAGGUUUGGAAACUCGCACUGGAAUUCGCUUGGGAGACUCGGCUUCAAGCAUGAUGGAUAUCUGAGNAUGGACUGUGCCCCCUGCAACAGCCAGAUGUUUGCAGUGCUAUUUGAACAGGGGAUUUCACGCUGGAGCAUUGUCUGCUGGCAUGUGCAGUGGCUCGUCUCUAGCCAGGCAGGCGGUGAAGCCGGAGCAACAUCCGUGCAGAUGUUUCCAGCAGGGGGAGGAGCCAUUUGUGAUCAAGGCUGUAAAGGGCAAGUGGAAACCGUUUCAGGAAAUGGGNCAGCUCAAGGCUGUGACUGCCUUCCUCAACCUCGUGGACCAGUUGUUGGCCUAUGGGUCUGCUCUNUUUAACACAGAGGCUCAUUAGGUGGAGGAAACUUCCGAACAGCUACAGGCGAACGCGUUCAGACCCAAGCUGCAUCAGGAACCUCCCGGGCACCCCUUCACCAGCAAGGACUGUAGUCGCUAAAUUGCCUGAGACUGGCUCUUGCUUGUGCCGACUGGGUAUUUUUCGUGGUGGCCAUCAGCAUUAAAGGCCAGGAUUGGUGCCUUCCCAGUCAGAUACUUGUAGUAGAGAUCUGAUGGUACUGUAUGCUCCUAAGGAGCUGGUAACUGUGCUCUCUCUCUCCUGUGUAGAGGCAUCCCUGUGCUUGUGUAAACAUUUAUUUAUAUUAANAGACAUCUUGUUCUUUUUGUAACAAGUAACUGGUAUUCUUCACUUGUCUCUAAUAAAGCUGCAGGCAGUUGUUUUUGUUUUUUUGCA